rnacentral:lncRNA from 1 species
UUGUGAAUGACUGCUGACAGACUAAGGGGGAAGCCAUGGGAAUGAAAUCUGAAACCUAGGAACUACUGGCUACUUUGUUUCCCACAUGUGGAACAGUUGUUCCCAGCCCUGGCCCCACCUUAGAAUCACCUUGGGAAACUAAAAUAAUACCCUGGCACCCACCCCCAGAGAUUCUAGUCAACUUGGUCGGGGGUCGGACCCAGGUAUCAAUAUUUCUUUAAAACUCCUCAGGUGAUUUAAAUGUGCAACCAGUGAUGAGAAUUACUGAACCAACAAAAGAAGCUGACCACGAGGAGAAAGAGUCAUAACCCUCAGCAGUGCCAGAAGAGACAUACACACACACAGGCUGAAUUCCUCGCCAGACUUUCUUUCACACUGUUCUGUUGACAAAUUCUUUUUUCAAUUACCUGAGAUAUUCCAGUGUCUUUCCAAUAAAUCCUCCUUUUAUCCUAUGCUAAUGUAAGUUGCAUUUGUGUGAUUUGCAAACAAAGAAGUCUGUUCUAGAUCUCUGUUUUUUGUGUGCUCAGGCGUAUUAGAUUUUUACUCUUGUAGAAUAGUGUCACUCCAUUCAUGUCCUCAUUCACUAAGUUAUUAAACCAUAAUGCCCACACUAUUCCAAGUUCUGUGCUACUUACCAGGAAUACUAAAAUAAAGAGACUCAACUGUUCCUUUAUUUGAAUAUCUUCUACUCCAGUAAGGGAAAUGGGCACAUUAACAGAGAGAAGUAGUAACCUAAGACGUGUUAUAUAAGUAUUGACUGGUUACUGGGAGAGUACUGAGGAAAGGUAUGGUCUGGUUAUAUCAUGGGAACCUUCACAAAGGAGGUGAUUUUAGUGUUGCCUCUGGAGGAGUAAUUAAUGUUACCUUGUAGACUAUGAAGAGUCAGCAUGAGAAACUACAUAGCCAAGGGACCAGAAUUAUAAAAGAGUAAGUCAUGUUAGAAAAUAAGUAUUUUUUUAUGGCUGGGCUGAAAGUUUAUGCUAGGGGUGGGGGUUAGGAAGCAGAGAAUAGACCAUAGACAUUUGCAUUUGUCAUGCUAACUAUUUGAGAUUUUAACUUGUGGCUAUUACAGAGAUACUGGAAAGGUAAAGAUAGAGCAGGGCUUUGACGAAUUGGCAUCCUGGAAAGAUUUCUCUGGAGAAGUGAUUGGGCAUAGACCAGAUUGUCUGGAAGUAAUCACGUCAGGAGGGCCACUGCAACUGUCCAGAAGAGAUCCUAAAUUAAGACUGAUAAUGAGGAGGGGAAAAAAAAAAAAUUAGAAGGUAGAUUCCCCUGAAGUCAAAUAAAGAGGGUGUGUAUGUGGCAUUGGGGAGAGUGAGAAAAAAGGAUGAGGAUGAGACCCUAAAGAAGGCUUACCUGUAGGGAACAGGGGAGUAGACAGGUAGAAGAAAAACCAUUUGCAGAGGGAAAGGAAAAGCUAUAGAACUAGGAAAGCAUGGUAUUGGGAAGUCAAUAUCAUCUCCAAUGACUUCUGUAUGGAGUUUCAAUAGAGUGGAAUUAUCCACCAACAAAAGUUCAUUUUUUUCUUUAGACAUAUAUGUAUUUUUUUCACUCUGCAACUAGUAGGGCUUAAUACUGAUGAAACAAAACCGAGGGCUGCUGUUUUUCUCUGAGCCUCUUCCCAAGCCUCUGCUCCAGCAAGACCAAAUUUAUCCCCACUGUGGUGCUCUGGCAGGUCAGAAGACUGGAGAGAGAGGUAAGUGAAGGAUACAACUAGAUGUUUCAUGUUGGUCCACUUAGCUCUCAUGACAGUGGGACAAAAUCCAGGCCCUCUCUGUGCUUGUUGGCAGAUGAACAAACUAGAGGGAAGGCCUCUCUGAGGAGGUCUGGGGACUCUAGCAGGGAAUAACUGGAAUAGGUGGGAGUAAGCUUGCUUGAAGCUCUUGUACGCGGUUACAAAGUGGGACUGUGACGCUCAUGAGGUGAAACUCUUGGUCUAAGCUCUCAGAUCUAAUGCGAGAGUUUCAGCUUUAUCAUUUUCUUUGUCUCUCUAGGCCCUUUGUCUUAGCAAAUGGUUCUUAUUAAAAACUGAGUAUCUAAAUUCUCACUUGGAAAUUGAAAUGAUAAGUAAACAACUUCCUAUUAUCUUCAGCCUGCUUCACUUGAAUUUGCCUACCAAGCAUUCAUUCUCUCUUCUGGUAUCAACACCUGACUUUUCUUUGGGAAACCACCUCUGCCUCAUUGCAUAUCGGUUGGUGAGACUGCUAGUUUUAAGAAAUCCUGCUGUGCCCUAGCCGAGGAGUAAGCACAUGGCGUAAGCACUAAGACUCUGAGCAAAUCAGAGUGAGACAGAGGUGGAAAACAUGUGGAGCUGACUCAUCACAAUGGCAGUGCUUUCAUGAGACUGUUCACAAGGUUCUGCUCCAAGGAACUUUCUUCUCUAGAGUAUCUGAUUCUUAUUCUUUUCUUUUUCAGGCUAAGAUUUAAACCUUUCCUCCCAGUCAUUUACUUUUUAAUUGGCUUUAUUUGGACAAAUUUGGUUUUCUGUAUUUGCAAACAAAGGAUUGCAGGAAAAACAUUCUAGAAAUUACCUAGUAGAUUACUCAAUGUAGUUAUAGCUAGAUUAUGGGUUCAUUUUAUUUUUUGUUAAUAAAUUACAGGCUUUUUUUUUUUUUUCUUUUUAGGGCUUUUUAGGGCAUAUGGAAGUUCCCAGGCUAGGGGUUGAAUCAGAGCUACAGCUGCCAGCCUACACCACAGCCACACCAACAUGGAUCCCAGCUGCAUCUGCGACCUGUACUACAGCUCACAAAUAUGCAAGAUCCUUAACCCACUGAAUGAGGCUAGGGGUUGAACCCACAUCCUCAAGGAUACUAGUCGGGCUCAUUACCGCUGAGCCACCUCCUAAAUUACAGUAUUUUUACAUGCUACAAAACUUUGGAAUUUGAGCAAAACACUAAUCUAAUUUUCUUGUAUCAUGCCAACUGCAAUGCAGAAUUCAGAAAUAGUGUAAGAUUCUAAAUAACACACCAUGCCCAGAGAGAGGCAUAGGCAGGGGCCCAGGGUAUGCUAAAAAUAACCUAAUCCAAGUAUAGGAUUUCUUUUGCUAAUUGAGGAGAUGCCUAUAAAGGAUAAAAGAGUAAGUAAAGAUAAAAAGCAAAUAAGAAAAUGCUAAUAGCUAACAUAUAGUUGACUUAAGGGAUGUGAGAAUAGAUAUUUUAAACAAACUUAGGUGUGAUGAUUGUGUUAUAAUUAUGUAAGAAAAUAUUCUUUUUAUUUUUCGAGAUACACUGUUUUAUUUAAAAGUGAAAUAACAUGACAUCAGGAAUUUCUUUAAAAGUCUUUCAGCAAUAGAAACAAUAUCAUGGAGUUCCCGUCGUGGCUCAGCUGUAACAGACCCCACUAGGAUCCAUGAGGAGCAGGUUCAAUCCCUGGGCUUGCUCGGUGGGUUAAGGAUCUAGCAAUGCCGUGAGCCGUGGUGUAGGUUGCAGACGUGGUGCGGAUCCGAGUUACUGUGGCUGUGGUGUAAGCCUGCAGCUGUAGCUCUGACUGUCCCCUAGCCUGGGAACUUCCAUAUGCCAUGGGUGUGGCCCUAAAAACAAAAAGAAAAAAAAAAAAGGGAAAAAAAAAGAAACAAUAUCAGAGAAAUCAUAAUAACUGAAAGAAAAAGGGUAGCAAACAUGUUGAUGACUCAUAGGGGUCCCGUAUAGUAGUGACAUUCUCUACUUUUGUGUAUGGGAAUUCGCCAAAUAAAAAAGUUUAAAAUAUUGAGGGAUUAAGAGGCGCAAACUUCUAGCUAUAAAAUAACCAAAUCAUGAGGAUGUAAUGUACAGCAUAGGGAAUUUGGUCAAUAAUAUUAUAAUAACUCUGUAUGGUAACAGAUGGUAACUAGACUUAUCAUUUCAUAAUGUAUAAAAAUAUUGAAUCACUAUGUUAUACACCUGAAGCUAAUACAAUAUUGUAUGUCAAUUAUAAUUCAAUAUUAAAUAGAGUGAAACACCUUUAAGAAGUUAAUUCAUCUGUGUCUGUAUAUUCUUGUACUGACAUUUAGAUCCCUUCAUCAUUACUUAAAGCACCUCAGAAGUUGUGUCUUUUGGCAGUGAUUUCCAUCCUUCUUUUGUAAUUUACUCAGUCUCAUGAUUUAUAAAAGAUUUGCUUAUUAGUGAUGACCUGCUGAUAGUAAAUUAUUUUAUUAAGCUCUUUGAAAUAUAGCCCAUCCUCUAAUGCGCCCACCUACACCCAAAGAAAAACCAAAAUUUAGGAAUGCAAAAUGAAGAAGCAAAAGCUUAUGCAUACCUAACUUGAUUUUUGAGUUCAAUUUUUUAAAUGUUAAAAUAAUAAAAAACAGCCUACUAAAUGUCCUUUAGGGGGAAAAACCUUUCAAAUAUUCAGCCUAUUGCAAAGAUGUAAAGGUGCCAGAUUACUAAGCACUGCUCGUCUUUAAUUUACCCUUUAUGUUCAGGUAUUUUUAAAAAACCAAAGCUAGCCUGGCAAAAUCCUAUUUUAUUUUUAUUGCUUCUACUUUUUAAUAGCAGCCAAUCUUGGAGAACAGAGGUCACAGGGAACACAAUGAGUCACUAGUCAAACUAUGAGAAUGCUGGUAUGAACAAUUAUUGUACACAAAUUAGACCAUAGUACUUCAUUCUCUUGCUUGGGUAUGGCUAAUAUAGUCUAUCCUCUUGAUCUUUGCAAUGUUUACUACAAUAAUGAACAAUUUGGUUAAUCUGCCUGUAAAAAUUGAUUUUGUUUGUCCUCCAAUAUUUUGUACUAAUAAGAAUUUCCCUUUAAAACAUAACUGGUUCUGCCUCAUCAACCUCAGACUUUCAUUUUAGAGUGAAUCUUCUAAUUAUAAAACCAUCCGGUGACAGUCUGGACAAAAAUGGCAUUCUGGUUAAUACUCACCACAAAAGAAUAUGGAUGUCUGAGUUUAUACUAAUGCACACCCCCCACCUAAAAAUGGGGGAACCUGUAGAAGUUAGUUAUGAUACUAUUUCAUCUAAAACAUGUGAUACAGUCUUACUAUUUCAGAUGAAAAUAUAGGUGAUAACUAUUCAGAGAGGGAUAGAAUAUCUGUUAAAGAAGGUCAGAUAGUUUCAUGCAAGUUAAUUUUCAGAAGCAAACAGAUCUUGAAAUGUUCUGAUGAUAGGCGACUCCAAUUGGCAUUUUCUCAAACAUUCUGCUAAAAGAAAAGAGGGAAGUUUGAUAACAUCAAGAUCAGCUUCCCUUUUGUAAAGUUUUCUUAAAUCAUAACUUCUUUUCUAUAGGAACAAAAGCAGCAUGACCCUAUUUCAAAAUGGGGACAAAUAAAUACUACAUAGAACUGAAAACAAUUUCAAUGAGUUCAUUUCAUAUGGUUCUUCUGCAUGAUGGCAGGAAUGUCACGCAGAUUUGUUCAGAAUUAUUGAAAAAGCAACUAGAAAAAAAACACAGUACUUUUUUUUCUGUUUAGUCUGUGAAUGAAGGGAAAGGUGAUAUGUUAAAGAAAGGUUCUUAACUGUACUCUAGUCAUGGGAGAAGCAAACUGUAACUGACUUGUGUUUUAUAUCCCCUUUGUUUCAAAGAAAGAUUUUGAGGCAGGUAUAAGAUUUUAAAGCAAGGACAUAAUUACUGAUGAAAGAGUCUCUACAGUACUUGAAAAACCCAUGAAAGGGAGAUUUUCUCUGUCCCUUUUUUAUGUGCCUUUGUAGCUCUAAAACUACAAUGAUUCUGUAAUGGUUCAAUAGCAAAAACUGGCCUUCUGCUGUCAGGGGUAGAUCAGCACACAGUAUAGAUCAGUACUGUCUGCAAAGUAUUUGGUCCCUAUGGAAGUUGUUCUUCCAUCAUC